rnacentral:lncRNA from 1 species
GCAGGAUCAGAGCAUGAGGAGGAGGGGGCUCUAAAAGCCGCCUUCCCCCACUCUAAACUGCGCGCAGCCCCGGGGGAAAGGAAGCUGUGUGGAUCCCACCCCCACCAUGCAGGCUGGAGGGUUUGGGGUUCGGGUAUAAGUGGGGGUGCGAGGACAGGCUCGGGGAGCGCCGGUUUUCUCGGAUGCAGAUUAGCCGCCUGGAGGCGAAGGCUUUUCUGUUUGGCUUCCCUGGAAGCAGCCAAGCUCUAUAAAAGGAAAAUGAGAAGCCAUCACAGCUGGGGCCGCUCCAGGCCUUUCUGCAAAAGACUAGCCUGGCCAGAAUCCAAACCGCAAGCCUCAGCGGGCAGCCCGGGGAAGGGGGCCCGGCCUCCCAGCCCCCCUCACUCUCCGCCCAGCCGGCCCGGGAGGUCCUGCUGCUGCCCUCCGGAGCCAACGGGGGAGAUGGAGAAAGCAUCCACAGAGUCAAAUUUCCUCACCUACCAUGAUCUUGGAGAAAAAAAAAGAAAAAAGGAUGGUACCCUUUUCUGAAAAGCAUUACAAAUAUCCAGUAUUAAAAACUGCAAUUCAAAAUUAGCCUGGGUCAAUACAUAAUUAUGACUGAGGAGGCUGGUGAAUACUGAGGAGUGACUCGAACGGACAAGGACACUCAAGGUAAGGCUGAAAUUCCAUCUCAAUGGUCACACCUCUCCCAGCCUUUUCAGUCCAUCCUCUGUCUUUUGGCUGAACCGUUCCUUUCCUUGCAUGACCCCAUAAUUCCACCAACGUGGAUCCUCCCCUCCCCCCCCAUGCAGAGCACAAGUCCUCAGGAGUUGCUGCCAAAGCAAUUCAUCACAUGGGAAUCAACCUCCAGUAAGGAACCUAUCCUAACUUAACUAAGGCUUAUGCUUUCCUGGCGUGGCCUUUGAGAACCCAUGAAUACAAAUGGCUAUUUUAAUAUAGUUUAUUCAUUAGGGAAGGUUAUAAAAAUAUCCUAUUUACAUGUGCAUGUGUUUGAGGCAUUUGAAAAAUAAUCAAAAAGCCUCAAGUUUAGUCUGUCGGCAGCCUGGGUUUUCAUGAAAAUUACCUUAAACCAAGUAUGACAACGCAUUUGUCAGUUUCAUUUGGAAUUGGCUCAGUUAUUCAAAUGGAAGAGAGUAAUAAAAUCAACUGCUUCCUCA